CAUGCAAGUCGAGGGGAAACGACAUCGAAAGCUUGCUUUUGAUGGGCGUCGACCGGCGCACGGGUGAGUAACGCGUAUCCAACCUGCCCAUCACUUGGGGAUAACCUUGCGAAAGUAAGACUAAUACCCAAUGAUAUCUCUAGAAGGCAUCUGAAAGAGAUUAAAGAUUUAUCGGUGAUGGAUGGGGAUGCGUCUGAUUAGCUUGUUGGCGGGGUAACGGCCCACCAAAGCAACGAUCAGUAGGGGUUCUGAGAGGAAGGUCCCCCACAUUGGAACUGAGACACGGUCCAAACUCCUACGGGAGGCAGCAGUGAGGAAUAUUGGUCAAUGGACGAGAGUCUGAACCAGCCAAGUAGCGUGCAGGAUGACGGCCCUAUGGGUUGUAAACUGCUUUUAUAAGGGAAUAAAGUGAGUCUCGUGAGACUUUUUGCAUGUACCUUAUGAAUAAGGACCGGCUAAUUCCGUGCCAGCAGCCGCGGUAAUACGGAAGGUCCGGGCGUUAUCCGGAUUUAUUGGGUUUAAAGGGAGCGUAGGCCGGAGAUUAAGCGUGUUGUGAAAUGUAGACGCUCAACAUCUGCACUGCAGCGCGAACUGGUUUCCUUGAGUACGCACAAAGUGGGCGGAAUUCGUGGUGUAGCGGUGAAAUGCUUAGAUAUCACGAAGAACUCCGAUUGCGAAGGCAGCUCACUGGAGCGCAACUGACGCUGAAGCUCGAAAGUGCGGGUAUCGAACAGGAUUAGAUACCCUGGUAGUCCGCACGGUAAACGAUGGAUGCCCGCUGUUGGUCUGAAUAGGUCAGCGGCCAAGCGAAAGCAUUAAGCAUCCCACCUGGG
rnacentral:rRNA from 1 species